rnacentral:snRNA from 1 species
GGAUGUUGAGGGCAAUCCGGCUGAUCUGGCCAGCUAGGCGGGUGUCCCCUUCCUCCCUCACCGCUCCAUGUGCAUCCUUCCUGAAGCUGUGUGCUCAGUCCAAGAGGACGACCACUCAGACAGAGGAGGACUGUUUCCACAGUCAAGGGUAUACAAGUAGCUUUGCUCCCCUUAUUGUCCAUCAAACAAGUUCUCAAGGUCCAAAUUAUGUCUUAAAAUCUUUUGGAUAAUCUAGGACAUUAUCUAGACAUAAUCUUCAAAAAAUCCUUGGUAAUUAAAUUUUAAAUUCAG